GAUGAACGCUAGCGGCAGGCUUAACACAUGUAAGUCGAGGGGUAGAGGCUUUCGGGCCUUGAGACCGGCGCACGGGUGCGUAACGCGUAUGCAAUCUGCCUUUCACAGAGGGAUAGCCCAGAGAAAUUUGGAUUAAUACCUCAUAGCAUAACACAACCGCAUGGUUGAGUUAUUAAAGUCACAACGGUGAAAGAUGAGCAUGCGUCCCAUUAGUUAGUUGGUAAGGUAACGGCUUACCAAGACUUCGAUGGGUAGGGGUCCUGAGAGGGAGAUCCCCCACACUGGUACUGAGACACGGACCAGACUCCUACGGGAGGCAGCAGUGAGGAAUAUUGGUCAAUGGGCGCAAGCCUGAACCAGCCAUGCCGCGUGCAGGAUGACGGUCCUAUGGAUUGUAAACUGCUUUUGUACGAGAAGAAACACUCCUUCGUGAAGGAGCUUGACGGUAUCGUAAGAAUAAGGAUCGGCUAACUCCGUGCCAGCAGCCGCAGUAA
rnacentral:rRNA from 1 species